AUUGAACGCUGGCGGCAUGCCUUACACAUGCAAGUCGAACGGUAACGGGCCUUCGGGUGCCGACGAGUGGCGAACGGGUGAGUAAUGCAUCGGAACGUACCUUUCAGUGGGGGAUAACGUAGCGAAAGUUACGCUAAUACCGCAUAUUCUGUGAGCAGGAAAGCAGGGGAUCGCAAGACCUUGCGCUGAUUGAGCGGCCGAUGUCAGAUUAGCUAGUUGGUGAGGUAAAGGCUCACCAAGGCGACGAUCUGUAGCGGGUCUGAGAGGAUGAUCCGCCACACUGGAACUGAGACACGGUCCAGACUCCUACGGGAGGCAGCAGUGGGGAAUUUUGGACAAUGGGGGCAACCCUGAUCCAGCCAUGCCGCGUGAGUGAAGAAGGCCUUCGG
rnacentral:rRNA from 1 species